GGGAGGCAGCAGUGGGGAAUAUUGCACAAUGGGCGCAAGCCUGAUGCAGGCAUGCCGCGUGUAUGAAGAAGGCCUUCGGGUUGUAAAGUACUUUCAGCGGGGAGGAAGGUGAUAAGGUUAAUAACCUCAUCGAUUGACGUUACCCGCAGAAGAAGCACCGGCUAACUCCGUGCCGGCAGCCGCGGUAAUACGGAGGGUGCAAGCGUUAAUCGGAAUUACUGGGCGUAAAGCGCACGCAGGCGGUCUGUCAAGUAGGAUGUGAAAUCCCCGGGCUCAACCUGGGAACUGCAUUCGAAACUGGCAGGCUAGAGUCUUGUAGAGGGGGGUAGAAUUCCAGGUGUAGCGGUGAAAUGCGUAGAGAUCUGGAGGAAUACCGGUGGCGAAGGCGGCCCCCUGGACAAAGACUGACGCUCAGGUGCGAAAGCGUGGGGAGC
rnacentral:rRNA from 1 species